rnacentral:rRNA from 1 species
CGGGACACGUGGUAUCCUGUCUGAAUAUGGGGGGACCAUCCUCCAAGGCUAAAUACUCCUGACUGACCGAUAGUGAACCAGUACCGUGAGGGAAAGGCGAAAAGAACCCCGGCGAGGGGAGUGAAAAAGAACCUGAAACCGUGUACGUACAAGCAGUGGGAGCACGCUUAGGCGUGUGACUGCGUACCUUUUGUAUAAUGGGUCAGCGACUUAUAUUCUGUAGCAAGGUUAACCGAAUAGGGGAGCCGAAGGGAAACCGAGUCUUAACUGGGCGUUAAGUUGCAGGGUAUAGACCCGAAACCCGGUGAUCUAGCCAUGGGCAGGUUGAAGGUUGGGUAACACUAACUGGAGGACCGAACCGACUAAUGUUGAAAAAUUAGCGGAUGACUUGUGGCUGGGGGUGAAAGGCCAAUCAAACCGGGAGAUAGCUGGUUCUCCCCGAAAGCUAUUUAGGUAGCGCCUCGUGAAUUCAUCUCCGGGGGUAGAGCACUGUUUCGGCAAGGGGGUCAUCCCGACUUACCAACCCGAUGCAAACUGCGAAUACCGGAGAAUGUUAUCACGGGAGACACACGGCGGGUGCUAACGUCCGUCGUGAAGAGGGAAACAACCCAGACCGCCAGCUAAGGUCCCAAAGUCAUGGUUAAGUGGGAAACGAUGUGGGAAGGCCCAGACAGCCAGGAUGUUGGCUUAGAAGCAGCCAUCAUUUAAAGAAAGCGUAAUAGCUCACUGGUCGAGUCGGCCUGCGCGGAAGAUGUAACGGGGCUAAACCAUGCACCGAAGCUGCGGCAGCGACGCUGAUGCGUUGUUGGGUAGGGGAGCGUUCUGUAAGCCUGUGAAGGUGUGCUGUGAGGCAUGCUGGAGGUAUCAGAAGUGCGAAUGCUGACAUAAGUAACGAUAAAGCGGGUGAAAAGCCCGCUCGCCGGAAGACCAAGGGUUCCUGUCCAACGUUAAUCGGGGCAGGGUGAGUCGACCCCUAAGGCGAGGCCGAAAGGCGUAGUCGAUGGGAAACAGGUUAAUAUUCCUGUACUUGGUGUUACUGCGAAGGGGGGACGGAGAAGGCUAUGUUGGCCGGGCGACGGUUGUCCCGGUUUAAGCGUGUAGGCUGGUUUUCCAGGCAAAUCCGGAAAAUCAAGGCUGAGGCGUGAUGACGAGGCACUACGGUGCUGAAGCAACAAAUGCCCUGCUUCCAGGAAAAGCCUCUAAGCAUCAGGUAACAUCAAAUCGUACCCCAAACCGACACAGGUGGUCAGGUAGAGAAUACCAAGGCGCUUG